rnacentral:tRNA from 1 species
UCCCUGGUAGUCCAGUCACCAAGACUCUGAGCUCCCAAUGCAGGAGGCCUGGGUUCGACCCCUGGUCAGGGAA